UACAGAGGUCUCAAGCGUUGUUCGGAUUCAUUGGGCGUAAAGGGUGCGUAGGUGGCGCCGUAAGUCAGGUGUGAAAUUUCGGAGCUUAACUCCGAAACUGCAUUUGAUACUGCGGUGCUUGAGGACUGGAGAGGAGACUGGAAUUUACGGUGUAGCAGUGAAAUGCGUAGAGAUCGUAAGGAAGACCAGUGGCGAAGGCGGGUCUCUGGACAGUUCCUGACACUGAGGCGCGACAGCGUGGGGAGCAAACAGG
rnacentral:rRNA from 1 species